rnacentral:lncRNA from 1 species
GGAAGCUUGCUCUGUGACGCCACUUGGAAGGGACCCGCUCACAGUGGCGGAAGUGGACUAAGACAUCAUGUUGCCUCAAGUUUAAUUGGAAAUCGUGUGCCUUGUAAAGAAUGGACACUCAGUAGAUGCUUAUUGAUUAACCUGUUGGUUGAGGAUAACUCGCUAACUUUUCUGAGCUUUGUUGGAAAAACUAGACAGGGGUCUCACUAUGUGAUGCACGAUGUUCUCAAACUCCCUGGCCUCAAGCGAUCCUCCUGCCUUGAUCUCCUAAAGUGCUGGGAUUACAGCAGGUCACUGUAUCUCUAUGCAUUACAGAAAAUGACUAGUUAAAAACUUGUCAAGAGAUGGGGUUUUACUAUGUUGGAGAAGCUAGUCUCAAACUCCUGGGCUCAAGUCAUCCUCCCGCCUCAGCCUGGUUAUUGAGAUUACAGACGUUGAGGGCGCAUGACACUCGUGGUGGCCAUAUACACAGAGGUCAGGGAGAGAAAGGGACCUGUGGGCCAGUACCCUUAUUGGGUCCAGAGAGUUAUCCAAACAAGUUUCUAGCAGGGAGUUUAAUUGGUGGAUUUAAAGCAAGCAGGUAUGAGUUCCAGGGGGCCACACUG